AUUGAACGCUGGCGGCAUGCUUUACACAUGCAAGUCGAACGGUAACAGGUUAAGCUGACGAGUGGCGAACGGGUGAGUAAUGCAUCGGAACGUGCCCGAUCGUGGGGGAUAACGCAGCGAAAGCUGCGCUAAUACCGCAUACGAUCUGAGGAUGAAAGCGGGGGACCGUAGGCCUCGCGCGAUCGGCGCGGCCGAUGUCAGAUUAGGUAGUUGGUGGGGUAAAGGCCCACCAAGCCGACGAUCUGUAGCUGGUCUGAGAGGACGACCAGCCACACUGGGACUGAGACACGGCCCAGACUCCUACGGGAGGCAGCAGUGGGGAAUUUUGGACGAUGGGCGAAAGCCUGAUCCAGCAAUGCCGCGUGCAGGAAGAAGGCCUUCGGGUUGUAAACUGCUUUUGUACGGAGCGAAAAGGUCCUUUCUAAUACAAGGGGCUCAUGACGGUACCGUAAGAAUAAGCACCGGCUAACUACGUGCCAGCAGCCGCGGUAAUAC
rnacentral:rRNA from 1 species